rnacentral:lncRNA from 1 species
CUCAUUUAUCACAAUUAGCCCCACUGCUACCUACCAAUAACAUAUCACCAACCUCUACACAUUCUUCGGUCACCACCACUAUCAUUGUCACCAAUAUCGCCACCUCUACUACCAAUAUCAACUACUACUAUCGCUACAGUUUAUCUCUACUAAGAACUAUUUCCACCAAUAUCAACUACUACUAUCGCUACAGUUUAUCUCUACUAAGAACUAUUUCCACCAUCACAGCU